rnacentral:rRNA from 1 species
AUACGGAGGGUCCGAGCGUUAUCCGGAAUCAUUGGGUUUAAAGGGUCCGUAGGCGGGAAUCUAAGUCAGUGGUGAAAUCUUGCAGCUCAACUGUAAAAUUGCCAUUGAUACUGGAUUUCUUGAAUUAGUGUGAAGUGGUUAGAAUGUGUAGUGUAGCGGUGAAAUGCAUAGAUAUUACACAGAAUACCAAUUGCGAAGGCAGAUCACUAACACUAUCUUGACGCUAAGGGACGAAAGCGUGGGGAGCGAACAGGAUUAGAUACCCCGGUAGUCC